rnacentral:rRNA from 1 species
AUUGAACUCUGGCGGCAGGCUUAACACAUGCAAGUCGAGCGAGCGGCGGACGGGUGAGUAAUGUCUGGGAAACUGCCUGAUGGCGGGGGAUAACUACUGGAAACGGUAGCUAAUACCGCAUACCAUCAGAUGUGCCCAGAUGAGAUUAGCUAGUGGGUGGGGUACUGUCGCACCUAGGCGACGCACCCUAGCUGGUCUGAGAGGAUGACCAGCAACACGGGAAAGGGGACACGGCCUGGAAUCCUACGGGAGGCAGAAAUGGGGAAUAUUGGGCAAGGAGGGCAGCCCUAACGGAGCCAUGCCGCGGAAAUAAAAAAGGCCUUCGGGUUGUAAAGUUCUUUCGGUAGCGAGGCGUUAAAUAGAGAAGAAGGACCGGCUAACUCCGUGCCAGCAGCCGCGGUAAUUC